UGCAGCCGCAUCACUUUGAAACACCGAUUCUCGUACGAUCGCCUAAGAUAAGCAACAUUGAGACUGGUCAGUACCUAGAUGGAUGACCUCUUUGGAAUACCAGGUGCUGUAU